UAAUACCGCAUAAUGUAUUCGCAUGGCAUCUUGUGAAUACCAAAGGAGCAAUCCGCUGUAAGAUGGGCUCGCGUCCGAUUAGAUAGUUGGCGGAGUAACGGCCCACCAAGUCGACGAUCGGUAGCCGGACUGAGAGGUUGAACGGCCACAUUGGGACUGAGACACGGCCCAGACUCCUACGGGAGGCAGCAGUGAGGGAUAUUGCACAAUGGGCGAAAGCCUGAUGCAGCAACGCCGCGUGAGGGAAGACGGUUUUCGGAUUGUAAAACCUCUGUUCUAAGUGAAGAUAAUGACAUUAGCUUAGGAGAAAGCCACGGCUAACUACGUGCC
rnacentral:rRNA from 1 species